rnacentral:rRNA from 1 species
AUUGAACGCUGGCGGCAGGCUUAACACAUGCAAGUCGAGCGAGCGGCGGACGGGUGAGUAAUGUCUGGGAAACUGCCUGAUGGAGGGGGAUAAAUACUGGAAAAGGUAGCUAAUACAGCAUACCAUCAGAUGUGCCCAGAUGGGAUUAGCUAGGAGGUGGGGUAAUGGAUCACCUAGGUGACGAUCCCUAGCUGGUCUGAGAGGAUGACCAUCCAUCCUGCAACUUAGACACGUUCCAGACUCCUACGGGAGGCAGCAGUGGGGAAUAUUGCACAAUGGGCUCAAGCCUGAUGCAGCCAUGCCGCGUGUGUGAAGAAGGCCUUCGGGUUGUAAAGCACUUUCAGCGAGGAGGCGUUACUCGCAGAAGAAGCACCGACUAACUCCGUGCCAGCAGCCGCGGUAAUUC